rnacentral:tRNA from 1 species
GGAGCCAUAGCUCAGUGGGAGAGCACCUGCCUGACGUGCAGGGGGUCGGGGGUUCAAGCCCCUCUGGCUUCA